AGGUAACUGGCAGAAUAAAGGAAACUCCAACAGUGUUUUAAUAGGAGGUCGGGUCGUCCACCAGGUAACUGGCAGAAUAAAGGAAACUCCAGGUCCUCCACCAACCACCAGGUAACUGGCAGAAUAAAGGAAACUCCAGGUCCUCCACCAGGUAACUGGCAGAAUAAAGGAAACUCCAACAUAGUGUUUUAAUAGGAGGUCGGGUCGUCCACCAGGUAACUGGCAGAAUAAAGGAAACACCAACAGUGUUUUAAUAGGAGGUCGGGUCGUCCACCAGGUAACUGGCAGAAUAAAGGAAACUCCAACAUAGUGUUUUAAUAGGAGGUCGGGUCGUCCACCAGGUAACUGGCAGAAUAAAGGAAACUCCAACAUAGUGUUUUAAUAGGAGGUCGGGUCGUCCACCAGGUAACUGGCAGAAUAAAGGAAACUCCAACAGUGUUUUAAUAAGAGGUCGGGUCGUCCACCAGGUAACUGGCAGAAUAAAGGAAACUC